UGCGGGUUGUAAAGCCCUUUCGGUGGGGAAGAAAAGCCUCGACCUAAUACGUCGGGGUCUUGACGUAACCCAAGAAAGAAGCACCGGCUAACUCUGUGCCAGCAGCCGCGGUAAUACAGAGGGUGCGAGCGUUAAUCGGAAUUACUGGGCGUAAAGCGCGCGUAGGCGGCUUUGCAAGUCGGGUGUGAAAUCCCCAGGCUUAACCUGGGAACUGCACUCGAGACUGCAUUGCUAGAGUAUGGGAGAGGGAAGUGGAAUUUCCGGUGUAGCGGUGAAAUGCGUAGAUAUCGGAAGGAACAUCAGUGGCGAAAGCGACUUCCUGGACCAAUACUGACGCUCAUGUGCGAAAGCGUGGGGAGCAAACAGGAUUAGAUACCCUGGUAGUCCACGCCAUAAACGAUGAGAACUGGAUGUCGGGAGGGUCUGCCUCUCGGUGUCGUA
rnacentral:rRNA from 1 species